CCCUUAGAUGUUCUGGGCCGCACGCGCGCUACACUGAUGCAUUCAACGAGCCUAUCCUUGACCGACAGGUCCGGGUAAUCUUUGAAUCUGCAUCGUGACGGGGAUAGAUUAUUGCAAUUACUAAUCUUCAACGAGGAAUUCCCAGUAAGCGCGAGUCAUAAGCUCGCGUUGAUUACGUCCCUGCCCUUUGUACACACCGCCCGUCGCUACUACCGAUUGAACGGUUUAGUGAGGGCCUCGGAUUGGUCUCGGCCCGCUCUUUACCGGGCGGCGCCGUUGGUCGAGAAGACGCUCGAACUUGAUCGUUUAGAGGAAGUAAAAGUCGUAACA
rnacentral:rRNA from 1 species